AGCCUGAUGGCACAACUGGUUAGUGCAUCUACUUAUGUACCAAAAAUCUUAAGGCUUUAUUAGAAGAUCCCUGUUCGAUCCGGGGUCGGACCA